rnacentral:rRNA from 1 species
UAACGCGUGGAAACCUACCAUUCUGUACGGAAUAACGAUUGGAAACGAUCGCUAAUACCGUAUACGCCCUGUGGGGGAAAGGUCCGCCGCAGAAUGAGGGGUCCGCGUCCGAUUAGCUUGUUGGUGGGGUAAAAGCCUACCAAGGCGAUGAUCGGUAGCUGGUCUGAGAGGAUGAUCAGCCACACUGGGACUGAGACACGGCCCAGACUCCUACGGGAGGCAGCAGUGGGGAAUAUUGGACAAUGGGGGCAACCCUGAUCCAGCAAUGCCGCGUGUGUGAAGAAGGCCUUAGGGUUGUAAAGCACUUUCAAUGGUGAAGAUGAUGACGGUAGCCGUAGAAGAAGCCCCGGCUAACUUCGUGCCAGCAGCCGCGGUAAUACGAAGGGGGCGAGCGUUGUUCGGAAUUACUGGGCGUAAAGGGCGCGCAGGCGGCCAAUCCAGUCAGGUGUGAAAGCCCCGGGCUUAACCUGGGAACUGCACUUGAUACUGAUUGGCUAGAAAACGGAAGAGGGCAGUGGAAUUCCCAGUGUAGAGGUGAAAUUCGUAGAUAUUGGGAAGAACACCAGUGGCGAAAGCGGCUGCCUGGUCCGAUUUUGACGCUGAGGCGCGAAAGCGUGGGUAGCAAACAGGAUUAGAUACCCUGGUAGUCCACGCCGUAACGAUGAAUGCUAGUUGUCGGGGGGAUGCCCCUCGGUGACG